UACGUAGGGGGCGAGCGUUGUCCGGAGUUACUGGGCGUAAAGGGCACGUAGGCGGUGCGGCGCGUUUCGCGUGACAGCGGAGGGCUUAACUCUCCGAGGAUGCGAAAGACGGCGGCACUUGAGGGCCAGAGAGGGACACGGAAUUCCGGGUGGAGUGGUGAAAUGCGUAGAGAUCCGGAGGAACACCGAAGGCGAAGGCAGUGUCCUGGCUGGUGACUGACGCUGAGGUGCGAAAGCUAGGGGAGCGAACGGG
rnacentral:rRNA from 1 species